rnacentral:rRNA from 1 species
GGCCUACCAAGGCGACGAUCCGUAGCUGGUCUGAGAGGAUGAUCAGCCACACUGGAACUGAGACACGGUCCAGACUCCUACGGGAGGCAGCAGUGGGGAAUAUUGGACAAUGGGGGCAACCCUGAUCCAGCCAUGCCGCGUGUGUGAAGAAGGCCUUCGGGUUGUAAAGCACUUUAAGCGAGGAGGAAGGUCUUUAAGCUAAUAACUUAAAGAAUUGACGUUACUCGCAGAAUAAGCACCGGCUAACUCUGUGCCAGCAGCCGCGGUAAUACAGAGGGUGCAAGCGUUAAUCGGAAUUACUGGGCGUAAAGCGCGCGUAGGCGGUAUGUUAAGUCGGAUGUGAAAUCCCUGGGCUCAACCUAGGCAUUGCAUCCGAUACUGGCACACUAGAGUGUGGGAGAGGAAGGUAGAAUUCCAGGUGUAGCGGUGAAAUGCGUAGAGAUCUGGAGGAAUACCGAUGGCGAAGGCAGCCUUCUGGCCUAACACUGACGCUGAGGUGCGAAAGCAUGGGGAGCAAACAGGAUUAGAUACCCUGGUAGUCCAUGCCGUAAACGAUGUCAACUAGCCGUUGGGCUCCUUGAGGGCUUAGUGGCGCAGCUAACGCGAUAAGUUGACCGCCUGGGGAGUACGGUCGCAAGACUAAAACUCAAAUGAAUUGACGGGGGCCCGCACAAGCGGUGGAGCAUGUGGUUUAAUUCGAUGCAACGCGAAGAACCUUACCUGCCUUGACAUGUCUGGAAUCCUGCAGAGAUGCGGGAGUGCCUUCGGGAAUCAGAACACAGGUGCUGCAUGGCUGUCGUCAGCUCGUGUCGUGAGAUGUUGGGUUAAGUCCCGCAACGAGCGCAACCCUUUUCUUUACUUGCCAGCGGGUCAUGCCGGGAACUUUAAAGAUACUGCCGGUGACAAACCGGAGGAAGGCGGGGACGACGUCAAGUCAUCAUGGCCCUUACGGCCAGGGCUACACACGUGCUACAAUGGUCGGUACAAAGGGUUGCUAACCCGCGAGGGCAUGCUAAUCUCAAAAAGCCGAUCGUAGUCCAGAUUGGAGUCUGCAACUCGACUCCAUGAAGUCGGAAUCGCUAGUAAUCGCGGAUCAGAAUGCCGCGGUGAAUACGUUCCCGGGCCUUGUACACACCGCCCGUCACACCAUGGGAGUUUGUUGCACCAGAAGUAGUUAGCCUAACCGCAAGGAGGGCGAUUACCGCGGUGUGGCCAAUGACUGGGGUGAAGUCGUAACAAGGUA